UGCAAGUCGAGCGAGACCUUCGGGUCUAGCGGGCCCUUCUCUGCGGAAUAGCCACUGGAAACGGUGAGUAAUACCGCAUACGCCCUUCGGGGGAAAGAUUUAUCGGAGAAGGAUCGGCCCGCGUUAGAUUAGAUAGUUGGUGGGGUAACGGCCUACCAAGUCUACGAUCUAUAGCUGGUUUUAGAGGAUGAUCAGCAACACUGGGACUGAGACACGGCCCAGACUCCUACGGGAGGCAGCAGUGGGGAAUCUUAGACAAUGGGCGCAAGCCUGAUCUAGCCAUGCCGCGUGUGUGAUGAAGGUCUUAGGAUCGUAAAGCACUUUCGCCAGGGAUGAUAAUGACAGUACCUGGUAAAGAAACCCCGGCUAACUCCGUGCCAGCAGCCGCGGUAAUACGGAGGGGGUUAGCGUUGUUCGGAAUUACUGGGCGUAAAGCGCGCGUAGGCGGAUUGGAAAGUUGGGGGUGAAAUCCCGGGGCUCAACCCCGGAACUGCCUCCAAAACUAUCAGUCUAGAGUUCGAGAGAGGUGAGUGGAAUUCCAAGUGUAGAGGUGAAAUUCGUAGAUAUUUGGAGGAACACCAGUGGCGAAGGCGGCUCACUGGCUCGAUACUGACGCUGAGGUGCGAAAGUGUGGGGA
rnacentral:rRNA from 1 species